CGCGGCCUAUCAGCUUGUUGGUGAGGUAACGGCUCACCAAGGCUUCGAUGGGUAGCUGGUCUGAGAGGACGAUCAGCCACACUGGAACUGAGACACGGUCCAGACUCCUACGGGAGGCAGCAGUCGGGAAUUUUGGGCAAUGGGCGCAAGCCUGACCCAGCGACGCCGCGUGAGCGAUGAAGGCCCUCGGGUCGUAAAGCUCUGUCGGGAGGGAAGAUGGGUUGUGAGGCGAAUAGUCUCGCGACUUGACGGUACCUCCAAAGGAAGCGCCGGCUAACUCCGUGCCAGCAGCCGCGGUAAUACGGAGGGCGCAAGCGUUGUUCGGAAUCACUGGGCGUAAAGCGCGUGUAGGCGGUCGGGAAAGUCGGAUGUGAAAUCCCGAGGCUCAACCUCGGAACUGCAUUCGAAACUCCCCGGCUAGAGUCCCGGAGAGGGUGGCGGAAUUCCCGGUGUAGGGGUGAAAUCCGUAGAUAUCGGGAGGAACAUCAGUGGCGAAGGCGGCCACCUGGACGGUGACUGACGCUGAGACGCGAAAGCGUGGGGAGCAAACAGGAUUAGAUACCCUGGUAGUCCACGCCGUAAACGGUGAGUGCUAGACGUCGCGGGUAUUGACCCCCGCGGUGUCGUAGUUAACGCGUUAAGCACCCCGCCUGGGGAGUACGG
rnacentral:rRNA from 1 species